GUAACGACACUAACGACGUCGGCUAUCGAUAAUAAUCCAUUGUCUUCCUUGUCAUAUCGACAGAGGCCGAUAUACCUCACAGACUUCGAUCGCGAUAACACUGGCUACUCUUCGUUGAUCCGCCACUAAGAGCGCGACUUCGCCGAAAUGGGCACCAUCAUUUAAAUGGCACAUCUCAAAAUAACAGAUUGGCGUUAAAACUGCAACAGUACCGGAGGAUAAAAAGAACAUGCAAUCACCCUGACUACCAGCUUUAAUGAUUACGUCAUUUGGC